GAUGAACGCUGGCGGCGUGCCUAAUACAUGCAAGUCGAGCGAACAGACGAGGAGCUUGCUCCUCUGACGUUAGCGGCGGACGGGUGAGUAACACGUGGAUAACCUACCUAUAAGACUGGGAUAAAUUCGGGAAACCGGAGCUAAUACCGGAUAAUAUAUUGAACCGCAUGGUUCAAUAGUGAAAGACGGUUUUGCUGUCACUUAUAGAUGGAUCCGCGCCGCAUUAGCUAGUUGGUAAGGUAACGGCUUACCAAGGCGACGAUGCGUAGCCGACCUGAGAGGGUGAUCGGCCACACUGGAACUGAGACACGGUCCAGACGCCUACGGGAGGCAGCAGUAGGGAAUCUUCCGCAAUGGGCGAAAGCCUGACGGAGCAACGCCGCGUGAGUGAUGAAGGUCUUCGGAUCGUAAAACUCUGUUAUUAGGGAAGAACAAAUGUGUAAGUAACUAUGCACGUCUUGACGGUACCUAAUCAGAAAGCCACGGCUAACUACGUG
rnacentral:rRNA from 1 species